AGGUAAGAGGCCCUGGCAACCCCGCUCCUCCCUCCCCGCCUGGUCACGGCUGGAGGGCGCAGCGGGCGCCCCUGGGGCGCUCAGCUUUGGAGUUUUAGAGCCCGUUAAAAUGAGAGCGGCGGCGCUUGUUUUUUCCAGCAAUUGUUUUCCAGUUCUCGCUGCAGGAUAUCUGGCUGUGCGCGUUGGCUUUCCUUGAGAUGCCCGUGGAAUAGCACUGGCAUCGAGCGACUUGUGAGCCGCACCCCACGCGAUGGAUGGAAACUGCCAUCAUGUAGAUGUGAAGUAAUUACUGAGCUCUGAAGAGAGUGUUUGAGGCUGGCUACUCUCCUCAAGAGAAAAAAGGAUAAAGAGAAUGAUUCUCCUAGAAGAAAAUGUAAUUUGAAAGAUACCAGGGACACUGGGCUCUAUUCUGCAUAAGCUGUAGCAGGAUAAAGUUUCAUAAGUUGCUUGUCUCCAGGAGCAGUGCUUUUUAACUGAGUGAUUUGCUCAGUGCUGUGCAUAAUCCUGCAAGACUUAAGGAAAACACCCUGGCAGGAUGGAGUGCCAUAAAGCUGGAGAAGAACCAGAGAAAA